rnacentral:rRNA from 1 species
GAUGAACGCUGGCGGCGUGCCUAAUACAUGCAAGUCGAGCGAACAGACGAGGAGCUUGCUCCUCUGACGUUAGCGGCGGAUGGGUGAGUAACACGUGGAUAACCUACCUAUAAGACUGGGAUAACUUCGGGAAACCGGAGCUAAUACCGGAUAAUAUAUUGAACCGCAUGGUUCAAUAGUGAAAGACGGUUUUGCUGUCACUUAUAGAUGGAUCCGCGCCGCAUUAGCUAGUUGGUAAGGUAACGGCUUACCAAGGCAACGAUGCGUAGCCGACCUGAGAGGGUGAUCGGCCACACUGGAACUGAGACACGGUCCAGACUCCUACGGGAGGCAGCAGUAGGGAAUCUUCCGCAAUGGGCGAAAGCCUGACGAAGCAACGCCGCGUGAGUGAUGAAGGUCUUCGGAUCGUAAAACUCUGUUAUUAGGGAAGAACAAAUGUGUAAGUAACUAUGCACGUCUUGACGGUACCUAAUCAGAAAGCCACGGCUAACUACGUG